rnacentral:rRNA from 1 species
UUAUCUUAGUGGCGCACGGGUGAGUAAUAUAUAGCUAACUUGCCCAUUACUAAGGGACAACAGUUGGAAACGACUGCUAAUACCUUAUACUCCGUAUCUAUAUAAGUAGGUACGGGAAAGUUUUUCGGUAAUGGAUAGGGCUAUAUCGUAUCAGCUAGUUGGUAAGGUAACGGCUUACCAAGGCUAUGACGCGUAACUGGUCUGAGAGGAUGAACAGUCACACUGGAACUGAGACACGGUCCAGACUCCUACGGGAGGCAGCAGUAGGGAAUAUUGCUCAAUGGGGGAAACCCUGAAGCAGCAACGCCGCGUGGAGGAUGACACUUUUCGGAGCGUAAACUCCUUUUCUUGGGAAAGAAUUAUGACGGUACCCAAGGAAUAAGCACCGGCUAACUCCGUGCCAGCAGCCGCGGUAAUACGGAGGGUGCAAGCGUUACUCGGAAUCACUGGGCGUAAAGGACGCGUAGGCGGAUUAUCAAGUCUCUUGUGAAAUCUAACGGCUUAACCGUUAAACUGCUUGGGAAACUGAUAAUCUAGAGUAAGGGAGAGGCAGAUGGAAUUCUUGGUGUAGGGGUAAAAUCCGUAGAGAUCAAGAAGAAUACCCAUUGCGAAAGCGAUCUGCUGGAACUUAACUGACGCUAAUGCGUGAAAGCGUGGGGAGCAAACAGGAUUAGAUACCCUGGUAGUCCCCGCCCUAAACGAUGUAUACUAGUUGUUGCUUCGCUAGUCGAGGCAGUAAUGCACCUAACGGAUUAAGUAUACCGCCUGGGGAGUAC